rnacentral:rRNA from 1 species
UACGGAGGGUGCAAGCGUUGCUCGGAAUUAUUGGGCGUAAAGGGUAGGUAGGUGGUCUCAUUUGUCUGGGGUGAAAGCCUUGAGCUUAACUCAAGAAGUGCCCCAGAAACGGUGAGACUCGAGUCCUGGAGAGGUGAGUGGAAUUCCCGGUGUAGCGGUGAAAUGCGUAGAGAUCGGGAGGAACACCAGAGGCGAAGGCGGCUCACUGGACAGGUACUGACACUCAACUACGAAAGC